AGAUUGAACGCUGGCGGCAUGCCUAACACAUGCAAGUCGAACGGGAGUAGCAAUACUCUAGUGGCGGACGGGUGAGGAAUACGUAGGAAUUUGCCCUUAAGUGGGGGAUAACCCGGGGAAACCCGGAUUAAUACCGCAUGACCUCGAAAGAGCAAAGUGGGGGAUCGCAAGACCUCACGCUUUUGGAGAAGCCUACGUCGGAUUAGCUAGUUGAUGAGGUAAUGGCUCACCAAAGGCGACGAUCCGUAACUGGUCUGAGAGGAUGAUCAGUCACACCGGAACUGAGACACGGUCCGGACUCCUACGGGAGGCAGCAGUGGGGAAUAUUGGACAAUGGGCGCAAGCCUGAUCCAGCAAUGCCGCGUGUGUGAAGAAGGCC
rnacentral:rRNA from 1 species